rnacentral:misc_RNA from 1 species
UACGGGGGGAUCGAGCGUUGUUCGGAAUUAUUGGGCGUAAAGAGCUCGUAGGCGGUUUGUCGCGUCUGCUGUGAAAGCCCGGGGCUCAACCCCGGGUGUGCAGUGGGUACGGGCAGACUAGAGUGCCGUAGGGGAGACUGGAAUUCCUGGUGUAGCGGUGAAAUGCGCAGAUAUCAGGAGGAACGCCGAUGGCGAAGGCAGGUCUCUGGGCUGUUACUGACGCUGAGGAGCGAAAGCAUGGGGAGCGAACAGG